AGUGAGUUCCGUGUCUGUGAAGAUACUCAGCUACAUAAACCAUCUUGUCCUGAGGAGGUUAUCCCGAGUCCUGAUGUAUCCCCAGACACCCACAGUGGAAAUGUGCUUUUAGACCCUGAGGAGGAACAGAGAGAUGAGGCCAGCCUUCCAAAAGAAGAUGUAGGUCUGCUUCCCCCACUGGCUCCUGCUCCGUUUUUCUCUAUAUUUGAUGAAUCCUCUACUUUAACAAAUCAGAAUAUAAGUUGUUCUGCAGAUCAGACCCAGACAAGUGCCCGUCGCCCUCUCGCCGUUCGUAAACCUUUGGCCUCUCUGGCAGCAAAGGAAAACAUCUCACCAGAAGCCUGUGAUGAGCUGAAUGGAAUCGAAGCUUUGACUGAGGAUGCAAUUGUGACAGGCUCCUACAAGAACAAACCCCUUUGUGCCAACCCAGAAGACAUGUGUGACUUUAACAGGGCUGCCCACCUGGCCUCGACACCCUUUCACGGGCCGGGGGCUCAGAGAGUCCCAGCUCCUGCUUUCUCCCAGAGUGGCCUGAAGGAGGGUAGUCCAGAAUCCAAGAGUGCACCUCUGGAGCAGGAAACGCUGGUGUGUGAGGGAGCGUACAGGGAAGCUCUGUGUGUAAAUAAACUGAGCCCAAUCAUGGAAGCAAGCCUGGAAGACACUCGCUCGUCAGGUUCUUCAGUCUCAGGAGGUUCUCUGUCCUCUGUGACACAAACAUCUGCUAUUAAAUACCUGUGUAUCCCUGAGAAACUGGAGCUGGCUCAGAGCCUGCCUGCUGAAACAGGUCCUGAUGCUGGAGGUGUCUGUGGAAACGCUCCUGCAGAGAGGUCCAGUACAGAAUGCUUGUCAGCAUCCAAAACAGGUAAAUAUUAAGGGGACA